GAUGAACGCUGGCGGCGUGCCUAAUACAUGCAAGUCGAGCGAACGGACGAGAAGCUUGCUUCUCUGAUGUUAGCGGCGGACGGGUGAGUAACACGUGGAUAACCUACCUAUAAGACUGGGAUAACUUCGGGAAACCGGAGCUAAUACCGGAUAAUAUUUUGAACCGCAUGGUUCAAAAGUGAAAGACGGUCUUGCUGUCACUUAUAGAUGGAUCCGCGCUGCAUUAGCUAGUUGGUAAGGUAACGGCUUACCAAGGCAACGAUGCAUAGCCGACCUGAGAGGGUGAUCGGCCACACUGGAACUGAGACGCGGUCCAGACUCCUACGGGAGGCAGCAGUAGGGAAUCUUCCGCAAUAGGCGAAAGCCUGACGGAGCAACGCCGCGUGAGUGAUGAAGGUCUUCGGAUCGUAAAACUCUGUUAUUAGGGAAGAACAUAUGUGUAAGUAACUGUGCACAGCUUGACGGUACCUAAUCAGAAAGCCACGGCUAACUACGUG
rnacentral:rRNA from 1 species